rnacentral:rRNA from 1 species
GGGAUAACAGUUGGAAACGACUGCUAAUACCGCAUAAGCGCACAGGGUCGCAUGACCUGGUGUGAAAAACUCCGGUGGUAUGAGAUGGACCCGCGUCUGAUUAGCCAGUUGGUGGGGUAACGGCCUACCAAAGCAACGAUCAGUAGCCGACCUGAGAGGGUGACCGGCCACAUUGGGACUGAGACACGGCCCAAACUCCUACGGGAGGCAGCAGUGGGGAAUAUUGCACAAUGGGGGAAACCCUGAUGCAGCGACGCCGCGUGAGCGAAGAAGUAUUUCGGUAUGUAAAGCUCUAUCAGCAGGGAAGAAGAAAUGACGGUACCUGACUAAGAAGCACCGGCUAAAUACGUGCCAGCAGCCGCGGUAAUACGUAUGGUGCAAGCGUUAUCCGGAUUUACUGGGUGUAAAGGGAGCGCAGGCGGUACGGCAAGUCUGAUGUGAAAGCCCGGGGCUCAACCCCGGUACUGCAUUGGAAACUGUCGGACUAGAGUGUCGGAGGGGUAAGUGGAAUUCCUAGUGUAGCGGUGAAAUGCGUAGAUAUUAGGAGGAACACCAGUGGCGAAGGCGGCUUACUGGACGAUUACUGACGCUGAGGCUCGAAAGCGUGGGGAGCAAACAGGAUUAGAUACCCUGGUAGUCCACGC